UCUCCUUUCCUCUCUUUCCCUCUUUCUUUUCCCUCCCUCCUUUCCUUCCUUCUUUCUCUGCUUGAAAUUGGGGUUUAAAACGGGAAAUUUUUAGAGAAACAAGAAAGAAUUGUUCCUUUUCCCAUAGGUCAAGUGUCACUUUCAUAAAUCCAGGCCAAGCUGAUAGCUCUAUAUGAGAAUGUUUCAUUUUUAAACAAAAUCUUUAGCUAAAAAUCAUAAUCAUUUGGAUCUGUGAAAUUUAGGAAAGAUCGUAACCUGAAAGAGAAGGAUAUCAAAUGAAAGAACCAUAAUUUUUACUUGUUUUUACUGUUGUUAUCUUUCUUUUUUUUUUUUUUUUUUUUUUGUUCAAUAAUAGAUAUUCAGCAAUUUCAUAACCUGAAAGGGGAUGGGGGAGGAGGAUUUCAUCAGUUUUACUGUCUUCUGUGCAAAGAAUGGCCAUUUAAUUUGGUGGCAAAGGGUUGGGUAGGUUUGUGUUUAUAUGGUGAAUACUAUUAACACGUGAGGUGGAAUCCUGUUUUUCACACAGGAAGGGUAGUGGCUGAUUAGACAAGGCUAUUUAAAUUUCUUAGAAGUAUUUGGUUACUGAACUUGGAUGACAACAAAGGAUAACAUUAGGUUUCACACUGUUUUCUAUUAAAAGGCAACCUUUGCCGGUUUCUGUGGGGAAAAAAAAGCUGAUUUUAGAGUAGCAGAAUAACUUUUACUUUGACAAGCUGGCAAAAAUGUCCCCAUUUGUGUGUUAUUUUGCAUAGUCAGUGAGGUCAUUUUGUCCCAUAAUAAAAAUAACAUUAUUCUUGUUGGUAUUAAUCUUUUGAAUGUAUUUGGAAACUUCAGGGUUGCAAGCACAUGGAUAACAAAAUGAUGGGUAGCUAUAAUGGAGAGGUUUAUGCUAAGGGUUAUAUUGUUACACAUGUAAAUAUGAAAAAUAUUAUUAUAUAUCACCAGAUCUUUUAAUGAAUUUAAGCAAUGUGUUCAUUUACCCCACCAGUGUCUCUUGUGCUUAGCAAAUAGUUCUUCAGCUUUUCCUCUAUUUUUGUCCUCCUACUCCCUUUCCCUAUCUAGCCUAAAGGAAAGCCAAAUGUUUAACAAAGUUAUAUUUAAUCAGUCUGGGUAAUCCCAAAAUGUGAUUAUUUAAUUUACAGUUUCUUGUUCCUAAACUUCAAUCCUCUUAAUGAGUCUCCCAUCCUUUCUCUACAAGUCUAUAUUGAGAAAUCAUUUCAAGAUGUAUUUAAAAUAGUCACCUCACUGUUGUUGAUCUAUCUUUUUUAUUUCUAUUAUUUUUAGGAUCUAGAACAGAUCUACUUUGUUUCCAAAUACCACCAUUCUUAAUUGACCUUUAGAGAUUCCUUAUGCUUUCCUGUAGUAUCUGGUAUUUGCACAUGUUCACGAGUUGUUCUGUAUGAAUGGUUUUUAAUGGAACGUUUAGAAAAUAAUUGGUUCUGAAAUGAAAUGUAGUAUAUACUCGAUAGUUUUAUCAAUAAGUGUAAUAUUUUAAAUAAUUUUAACAAUUAAAUUUGUUUUCUUAAAUUAUAUAUUUGUAAAAUAUUUAUCCUGUUGAAAGCAACAAUAUAUUGUUGUAUUUAUUCAUUUUAUUUUUAUAAUAAAUGAUCAACCUCUUCAAGUUAAAGCAAAAAUGACACUUUUAUAUACUUAUGUAUAAAUAUCUUUUAAAAGAUGGAUAUAUUUGCAUCAAUUUAUAUGAUAAACAGAGUGAGAUCCAUCAAUACAGUUUAGUUUUCAGAACUAAAUUGUAGGAGAGAACAUAUUCUCCACAUGAAGUUUAGCUUGCUCAAGUUCUAGAGUAAUUAAUCAAAUUCUAAAAGGGAUGCAACAAGUAUUGGCACUGGGUAUAGAGUUGAAAUUAAUUAUUUAGAACCCAGACCUAUCCCCACCCAUCCGUCCCCAAGAAGAUAGAAAUUCUUAGGGAAUUAUCUUAUUUUGUGGAAUGUACGUGAUUUGCUAGAAAGACGGAAACAGAAACAAUGUAUUGGUGAAAAAACCCAAUUAUUUUCGGUUUCACUUAGAAAUACUUAACUGUAUUCAUUCUUAACGAUGAAAGACAGAAAUAGAGUGAAUUGAGUGGUUGGGGGUAAUCGAUGUAUCUUUCAAAGCAAGAUAUUUUGGGGCUGGCUCCGCUAUUUUAAACGGAGAUAAAGCAGAACAACAAUAACAAAAAACACACACCCAAAAAUAAUAAUAAUAAGGAAUUCAGAGUGGAUACGAAGGAAUAGAAUACCUUUCUUCCUAUCCAGUUAUUAGCAAUAUAAGCAGACAAUAAAGAGGGAAAAGAGGUUGCCAGGAUUUUCUGUUUGGCUUGACUACCUAUCUCUAACUUUGUGCGUGUGGAAUACUUGCUUAUCCCAGCUCUUUAGAACUGUUAUCUACCCUUCAUCUGGAGGUCACUCACGUGACAUCGUGACUACUAGUGCUGCACUGGAGGCUUGACCUUGACUUCCAUACGGAAAUCAGUGAGCUCAGUGUUUUACUUUUUAAUCUCCUUUACCCAAGAGAAAGAAAUAUUGGAGGAAGUUGGAGGAAUUCGGGAGUGGAAGAGGGAGCUGGUGGAGAGAGGAACAGGACCACUUUUUCCCCUGCAAACAGGAAAAAUAUUGCCUCUUCUGUCAGAACUUUGUUUCCAGCCUGGAGAAACUUCAACAAUGUCAAGUUUUCCUACAGAUUCCUUCCUUUAACUGCUUUCCGAAAGAGAAAUCUCUGCCUGAACUGAGAAACAUAAGCGGAAAUUUAACAGGGAUAAAUGAAAAGUCUUGAUUCCAAAAAUCAGCACCCAUCAGCAUGAAAAAGACAAAGAGAUUUUAACAGAAUCCAAGAUCAAUAUGAAACAAGAAAAUAGAGGAGCCAAAAAAAUGAUUUUGUGUGCCUGCGACAACUUCAGGAUGUCCUGGAGAUCCCUUUCUUCAGUUUCCUUCCAAAUGGAAUCAUCUGCUUCAUUAUAAUCUGGAUACAUAAAGAGAAAUCACUGAUAUAAGGUCUUACAGUAACUCUCAACCACAGUUUUCCUCACCUAGAAUUACUUGGAUUAUGUGUAUAUGAUUGUGAUAGAAAACUACUGUGCUAUAAGAAAUAAUGAGCUAAUGUUUACAGGAAAACA